CAGGAAAUCCUGCACAAUCGAUUGGAAGAUACAUAUGGCAGGCGGUAAUCUUUCCCUGGUGAUGCAAUCCCUACAACUGCCUGUUCUCGCCCCACUACGGAAUAUCUGCACUCAGGAUUUGUUUGGAUCCAGCCAUACCAGCCUCUUCAUUCCAAUCUGCUGGCUCCAAAAGAGAGUGUGGCGAGUGUGUGCGACUGAGUAGCACGUAGAAGGAGGAAGAAGGCAAUCGUGGCUGAAACGGACCCCACUCAAUCUCCAUUCAUGGGAUCCUGUGAGCACCACCUGUGAGCAUCACUAUGUGGUUCAGGUCUGUGUGCCACUAAAGCUGGCUUCUUUUCAUUUUAUUUACUUAGUGCACAUUGUUUUAACUCUUGACUUUGAGGAAGUUUAAUGUCAAAUAUUUAGCUCACUCCAACAACUGUAUAAAACCAUCUAGUUUGUACUUCAUGACCUUAAACCUACUUUUUUAUUAUUUCCCUACCCUUGUAUUUCUUUUGCCUUUC